UACGUAGGGUGCGAGCGUUAAUCGGAAUUACUGGGCGUAAAGCGUGCGCAGGCGGUUGGUUAAGUCUGAUGUGAAAGCCCCGGGCUCAACCUGGGAAUGGCAUUGGAAACUGGUCAGCUGGAGUGUGGCAGAGGGGGUGGAAUUCCGCGUGUAGCAGUGAAAUGCGUAGAGAUGCGGAGGAACACCGAUGGCGAAGGCAGCCCCUGGGCCAACACUGACGCUCAGGCACGAAAGCGUGGGAGCAAACAGG
rnacentral:rRNA from 1 species